AGGGAAGGAAUCAGGUGGAUAGGGGCAAUGGAGGAACAAAGAAAAACAUUUGUAAUAUUCUCAACAAUAAAGAUUUAAAAAAAAAAAAGAAUAAAGGAGAAAAAGUAACAUUCAGGUAAGCUAAAACUAAGAGAACUUGCUAUUAAUGGAACACUCUAAGACUACUUUAAGUGUUUCAGAUGAAAUGAAAAUGCAGCUGAAAUUUUAACAUGCAGGAAGAAGCAAAGAGGUAGAGUGUGGUAAGAUGUGAGUAAAUCUUCAUAAACUUGAAUAUUUUAAAAUAAUAAUAAUAAUAAGAUAUACAGAAUUAGAAUAUGACAAAAAAAACUAUAAUUUAAAGGAAAGGAUAGAUUUCAAAUCUUAUAAGGUAUUUUUUAUCAUCUAAGAAAAAAUAAAGACUUUGAAUUGUCUUUUAACAAGCUCCUUAGUCUAUAAGAAGUUAAGAAUACAUAUUUUAAUGUUUAGGGUAUUCAAUUAAAGAAUAAAAACAGGGUAUAACAUAAAAAGCUACAGGGGGGAAAAAUAGAAUAAUUGAAAGAUCAACCAACCAGAAAGAAUGCAAAAAGUAGAGAAAAAGAAAAAGAAGAUGCACAAAAUAAGGGGUAGGUCAUGACUAAUGAUUUUAGUAAUUUAACCAUUUGUGUUUUAAAUGAUCUUGCUGUAGUACUAAGAUUAUAAGAUUAAAAAAUAAGCAUAAAAUUUGAAAACAAAUGGAUGGAAAAUGUACACACUGCAAUAAUAUUUAGAAGACUUGCUAGACAUAUAAGAUCACAUCAUUAUAGAAAAUAAUGGCCAAGAAAAUAAAACUAAAUCUACAUGGUUUUAAUAAGAUGGCAUUAAAUACAUAAAAGAAUGACAGAAGAAAACACAAGUUUAUGACCACAACAAGAGGUUUAAUAGUACUACUUGUAGCAAUGAAGAGAACAAUGGGCAAAAAUAAUAAGUAUAUAGAGGAAUGUAAUAAUAAUCAAUAUAUUUCAUUCAAGGGAACAGGCAAAUAAGCAAGUACAUUUUAAAAAUCAACCGAGUUCUAGACCAUAAAAAAGCCAGUCUCAAAAAAAUCACAAAAUUUAAAUUGUUCAACAUUUGGACUUUUACUACAAUGAAAUAAUGUGGGAAAUCAACAAGAAAAAGACAAAUAAAAUAUGCUUCUAUGGAAAUUUGGAAAUUUUAAAAAAUAGACUAAAAACCUAUGGGUCAGGAAUGUAAAAGAAUGCAUCUAUAUGUUCUCUGCAUUUAGAACUAUAUUUAUAGAAAACUAUACUUUCUCAAAAACAUAUGUUAGAAAAUAAGGAAGAAAGAAAUAAGCAUCUGACUUAAGAAAUAAAGUCAAUAAAAUGAAGAUAAUGACAAGAAAAGAAAUUGUGGUAUUCAAAUAAGCUCAGAGUAAAUAUAACAAAAAGCAAAAAGUUAAUUAAUUGAAAGGAAUAACAGAGUUUUAAUUCUCUGAAAAGACAAAUGAGGAAAAACAAAAGUUAGGUACAAAUGUCAAGAUUGAGAAAGGGACAACUCUUCAGAC